GACGUCUCGACAGCCGGACAGUGCUAUGCAAAAACAACCAUGCCCAUCAUACAAAUAUAGGCCUAAAGAAAGAAAACACGUCCAGAUAAACGUAGGAUUGAUGGUGCCAAGUGGAACUGAUUUAAAACCUCUAAGAGGGAAAACACUACCGUUAUUUACAGACCCAGAGGUAGCAGCACCUGAUCUACUGAAACAAGCUGUCCAGAAAAUAACAACAUUUAACAAGGACAUGCACGAAGGACCUUAUGUCCUUUUGUAUCCAGACUGCUCAGAGGUGGUUCAUGUGCCUGGGUCAGAAAGGCCAUUCAAAUUGGCAGAAUAUAAAAAGGAAAUAGGAAAGGCAUAUUCCAGGAUCACUUUUUUCAUUUGCCUAGAAAAACACUAUAAAAGAGUGGAUGAUACCUCAGACUCUGAUUCUGAAAUUGUCAUCACAACAAGGAGCACAGCUGAACUCAAUCGUGCUGACACUUUGGUACAUCAGUUAUUUCUCUUUUUUAA